UACAGAGGUCCCGAGCGUUGUUCGGAUUCAUUGGGCGUAAAGGGUGCGUAGGUGGCGCCGUAAGUGGGGUGUGAAAUCCCGGGGCUUAACCCCGGGACUGCAUUCCAUACUGCGGUGCUUGAGGACUGGAGAGGAGACUGGAAUUUACGGUGUAGCAGUGAAAUGCGUAGAGAUCGUAAGGAAGACCAGUGGCGAAGGCGGCCUUCUGGUCCAGUACUGACACUCAAGUGCGAAAGCGUGGGGAGCAAACAGG
rnacentral:rRNA from 1 species